rnacentral:rRNA from 1 species
CGUAAACGAUGAAUACUAAGUGUUGGAGAAAUUCAGUGCUGCAGUUAACGCAAUAAGUAUUCCGCCUGGGGAGUAUGCACGCAAGUGUGAAACUCAAAGGAAUUGACGGGACCCCGCACAAGCGGUGGAUUAUGUUGUUUAAUUCGACGCAACGCGAAGAACCUUACCAGGCCUUGACAUACUCAGCAAAGCCCUAGAGAUAGGGUGGAGGUUAUCUGGGAUACAGGUGGUGCAUGGUUGUCGUCAGCUCGUGUCGUGAGAUGUUGGGUUAAGUCCCGCAACGAGCGCAACCCUUGUCUUUAGUUACCAUCAUUCAGUUGGGGACUCUAGAGAGACUGCCGGUGAUAAACCGGAGGAAGGUGGGGAUGACGUCAAAUCAUCAUGCCCCUUAUGGCCUGGGCUACAAACGUAAUACAAUGGCGUAUACAAAGGGAUGCGAAAGGGCGACCUGGAGCAAAACUCAUAAAGUACGUCUCAGUUCAGAUUGGAGUCUGCAACUCGACUCCAUGAAGGCGGAAUCGCUAGUAAUCGCGGAUCAGCAUGCCGCGGUGAAUACGUUCUCGGGGUUUGUACACACCGCCCGUCAAACCAUGAGAGUUGGUAAUACCCGAAGCCGGUGGCCUAACCUAGUAAUAGGAGGGAGCCGUCGAAGGUAGGAUCGAUGAUUAGGGUUAAGUCGUAACAAGGUAACCAAG